AGAGUUUGAUCCUGGCUCAGAAUGAACGUUGGCGGCGUGGAUUAGGCAUGCAAGUCGUACGGGCCGCAAGGCCAGUGGCGCAAGGGUGAGUAAGGCGACGGUAACCAACCCCGUGAUUGGGUAUAGCCGCGGGAAACUGCGGGUAAUCCCCAGCGACGUCCGGAAGGGGCAUCCCUUUCGGACCAAAGCUCCGGCGUCGUGGGACGGGCUGUCGUGGUAUUAGCUUGUUGGCGGGGUAACGGCCCACCAAGGCUCUGAUGCCUACCGGGCGUGCGAGCGUGACCCCCCACACUGGUACUGAGACACGGACCAGACUCCUACGGGAGGCAGCAGUAAGGAAUAUUGGUCAAUGGGCGCAAGCCUGAACCAGUCAUGCCGCGUGCAGGAAGACGGCCCUACUGGUUGUAAACUGCUUUUAUACCGGAAUAAACCUCUU
rnacentral:rRNA from 1 species